rnacentral:rRNA from 1 species
GCCCGCUGGCUCACACGGGGUGCUCUUGAUCGAGUGUCCCGCGUGGCCGGCAGAGUUUACUUUGAAAAAAUUAGAGUGCUCAAAGCAGGCUACACGGACGGCCUGAAUGCCUAUGCAUGGAAUAAUGGAAUAGGACCUCGGUUCUAUUUUGUCGGUUUUCUGAACCCGAGGUAAUGACUAAGAGGAACAGGCGGGGGCAUUCGUAUUGCGACGCUAGAGGUGAAAUUCUUGGACCGUCGCAAGACGAACUACUGCGAAAGCAUUUGCCAAGGAUGUUUUCAUUAAUCAAGAACGAAAGUUAGAGGUUCGAAGGCGAUCANAUACCGCCCUANUUCUAACCAUAAACGAUGCUGACCAGCGAUCCGCCGGCGUUAUUCCCAUGACCCGGCGGGCAGCUUCCGGGAAACCAAAGUCUUUGAGUUCCGGGGGAAGUAUGGUUGCAAAGCUGAAACUUAAAGGAAUUGACGGAAGGGCACCACCACGAGUGGAGCCUGCCGCUUAAUUUGACUCAACACGGGGAACCUCACC